UAGUGGCAGACGGGUGAGUAAUAUAUAGGAAUCUACCUAGUAGUACGGAAUAAUUGUUGGAAACGGCAACUAAUACCGUAUACGCCCUACGGGGGAAAAAUUUAUUGCUAUUAGAUGAGCCUAUAUUAGAUUAGCUAGUUGGUGGGGUAAUAGCCUACCAAGGCAAUGAUCUAUAGCUGAUCUGAGAGGAUGAUCAGCCACACUGGAACUGAGAUACGGUCCAGACUCCUACGGGAGGCAGCAGUGGGGAAUAUUGGACAAUGGGCGAAAGCCUGAUCCAGCCAUGCCGCAUGAGUGAAGAAGGCCUUUGGGUUGUAAAGCUCUUUUAGUGAGGAAGAUAAUGACGGUACUCACAGAAGAAGUCCUGGCUAACUCCGUGCCAGCAGCCGCGGUAAUACGGAGAGGGCUAGCGUUAUUCGGAAUUAUUGGGCGUAAAGGGCGCGUAGGCUGGUUAGUAAGUUAAAAGUGAAAUCCCGAGGCUUAACCUUGGAACUGCUUUUAAAACUGCUAACCUAGAGAUUGAAAGAGGAUAGAGGAAUUCCUAGUGUAGAGGUGAAAUUCGUAAAUAUUAGGAGGAACACCAGUGGCGAAGGCGUCUAUCUGGUUCAAAUCUGACGCUGAGGCGCGAAGGCGUGGGGAGCAAACAGGAUUAGAUACCCUGGUAGUCCACGCUGUAAACGAUGAAUGUUAAAUAUGGGAAGUUUACUUUCUGUAUUACAGCUAACGCGUUAAACAUUCCGCCUGGGGACUACGGUCGCAAGAUUAAAACUCAAAGGAAUUGACGGGGACCCGCACAAGCGGUGGAGCAUGUGGUUUAAUUCGAUGCAACGCGAAAAACCUUACCACUCCUUG
rnacentral:rRNA from 2 species